AUUGGUGCUUGCAUCAUGAUUUACAUUUGAGUGAGUGGCGAACUGGUGAGUAACACGUGGGAAACCUGCCCAGAAGCGGGGGAUAACACCUGGAAACAGAUGCUAAUACCGCAUAACAACUUGGACCGCAUGGUCCGAGCUUGAAAGAUGGCUUCGGCUAUCACUUUUGGAUGGUCCCGCGGCGUAUUAGCUAGAUGGUGGGGUAACGGCUCACCAUGGCAAUGAUACGUAGCCGACCUGAGAGGGUAAUCGGCCACAUUGGGACUGAGACACGGCCCAAACUCCUACGGGAGGCAGCAGUAGGGAAUCUUCCACAAUGGACGAAAGUCUGAUGGAGCAACGCCGCGUGAGUGAAGAAGGGUUUCGGCUCGUAAAACUCUGUUGUUAAAGAAGAACAUAUAUCUGAGAGUAACUGUUCAGGUAUUGACGGUAUUUAACCAGAAAGCCACGGCUAACUACGUGCCAGCAGCCGGGGUCAUACGUA
rnacentral:rRNA from 2 species